rnacentral:rRNA from 1 species
GACGAACGCUGGCGGCGUGCUUAACACAUGCAAGUCGAACGGUGAAGCGCCUUCCUUUUUGGUGGGUGUGGAUGAGUGGCGAACGGGUGAGUAACACGUGAGUAACCUGCCCCCUUCUUUUGGAUCACCGCAUGAAAGUGUGGCUAAUACGGGAUAUUCUGGGUCUGUCGCAUGAUGGGUCUGGGAAGGAUAUUGUUUCGGUGGGGGAUGGUCUGGCGGCCUAUCAGCUUGUUGGUGGGGUGAUGGGCUACCAAGGCGGUGACGGGUGGCCGGACUGUGAGGGUGGACGGUCACACUGGGAGUGCGGCACCGACAAGACUCCUACGGGAUGCAGCAGGGGGGAUUAUUGCACAAUGGGCGGUAGCCUGUUGCAGCAACACCUCGUGAGGGAUGGAGACCUGCGGGUUGUGAACCUCUUUCGGCAGUGAAGCAGGUCUGCCUGGUUUGUGGGUGGGUUGACGGUAGCUGGAUAAGAAGCGCCGGCUAACUACGUG